UACGUAGGGUCCGAGCGUUGUCCGGAAUUACUGGGCGUAAAGAGCUCGUAGGUGGUUUGUCGCGUUGUUCGUGAAAACUCACAGCUCAACUGUGGGCGUGCGGGCGAUACGGGCAGACUGGAGUACUGCAGGGGAGACUGGAAUUCCUGGUGUAGCGGUGGAAUGCGCAGAUAUCAGGAGGAACACCGGUGGCGAAGGCGGGUCUCUGGGCAGUAACUGUCGCUGAGGAGCGAAAGCGUGGGGAGCGAACAGG
rnacentral:rRNA from 1 species